UAGGGAAUAUUGGACAAUGGGUGAGAGCCUGAUCCAGCCAUGCCGCGUGCAGGAAGAAGGCCUUCUGGGUUGUAAACUGCUUUUUGCCGGGGGAUAAAAGGCCCCUGCGGGGGACAUUGAAGGUACCCGGUGAAUAAGCCACGGCUAACUACGUGCCAGCAGCCGCGGUAAUACGUAGGUGGCAAGCGUUGUCCGGAUUUAUUGGGUUUAAAGGGUGCGUAGGCGGCCCCGUAAGUCAGUGGUGAAAUACGGCAGCUCAACUGUCGAGGUGCCAUUGAUACUGCGGGGCUUGAGUAUGGACGAGGUAAGCGGAAUUGACGGUGUAGCGGUGAAAUGCUUAGAUAUCGUCAAGAACACCGAUAGCGAAGGCAGCUUACUAGGCCAUAACUGACGCUGAGGCACGAAGGUGCGGGGAUCAAACAGGAUUAGAUACCCUUGUAGUCCCUGAGCGGGCUGGCAAGGCGCAU
rnacentral:rRNA from 1 species